UAUAUUCCCCUUCGCUAGGUCUUCGUUGAGCAUUUUUGUGGGUGUUCUCUUCUUUCUCUGAUCUUUCUCGACUUUAAUAAGGCUUAUAGUUACUCGAACUGGUGAUAAAAGUUUUGUUGGUCGGGGAUCGCUUCGUGGACGGCGACGUGGAGAAUGUUUCGGCCGAUUUCAUCAAUCUCUUUUGUCACAGCCGCAAGGGCUUUCAGCACCCAACUCUUUGUUUCUAGAUUGUCAUUUUAUACGACUGAAAAGAAACUGGUAGAGCUAUUUUCACCUUUUGGAGUUCUGACAGAAGCUAGGCUUGUGAUGGACAGUAGUACCCAGAGGCAUAGAGGGUUUGGUUUUGUGACAUAUGAGUCUGAGAAGGAUGCACUUAAAGCUGUGAAGGCGUUGAAUAACAGGAUUAUUGAUGGAAGGUUGAUCUUUGUCGAGUUUGCAAAACCAAAAGUGGCAUCCGACAAUUCUUCUUAGGUGGUAUGGCCGCUUACCAUUUUCCAUGGAGAUCUUGGAGGGAUAUAGUCUCAAAUUCCUGGUUUCCUCGGGUCCCUUGGCUCCACAAUUUUCUCCUUAUCAAUUUUGUUGGACUCUUUUCAUUCUUGAUUCCACCCAGCAAAAUCGUAUAUAUAUACAACUUGUUUUAUUGAAGGUGUCAUUCAAAGACAACCUGAUGCUAGUGCCUGAUCGUCUAAAUGGCGUUUGAUUCUUGUUGCCCACCAUGGCCUGUAUGUUGGGGACCUGCAGGUGAGCUGCAAAGAAGGGACAUGAAGAUGGCAUCCUUUUCCUUGCUAGACAUUCUUGGCAAUUCCACCAAUUUUGCCUGUAUAGACUAACUUCCAUGGAUUUUAAUUUUGCUUGUUGGCUCCCGUGAGGUUUGAAUUCUAAUUAUCUUUAUGUUAAUGGAAGCAUUGCCCGGUGCUCCCUGUGCGGGGU